rnacentral:rRNA from 1 species
CCUACGGGUGGCAGCAGUGAGGAAUAUUGGUCAAUGGACGAGAGUCUGAACCAGCCAAGUAGCGUGAAGGAUGACUGCCCUAUGGGUUGUAAACUUCUUUUAUAUGGGAAUAAAACGCUCCACGUGUGGGAUUUUGUAUGUACCAUAUGAAUAAGGCUCGGCUAACUCCGUGCCAGCAGCCGCGGUAAUACGGAGGAUCCGAGCGUUAUCCGGAUUUAUUGGGUUUAAAGGGAGCGUAGGUGGAUUGUUAAGUCAGUUGUGAAAGUUUGCGGCUCAACCGUAAAAUUGCAGUUGAAACUGGCAGUCUUGAGUACAGUAGAGGUAGGCGGAAUUCGUGGUGUAGCGGUGAAAUGCUUAGAUAUCACGAAGAACUCCGAUUGCGAAGGCAGUUCACUGGACUGCAACUGACACUGAGGCUCGAAAGUGUGGGUAUCAAACAGGAUUAGAUACCCUUGUAGUC